AAUUCUCAACCUUCCAACUUUCAUUAGCUUGGUUAGGCUUGGAUGUGGGGGUUGCGGGCUUCAUCACGAAGUCGGCUCUCCUUAAAUGCAUUAGCGGAACUUUUGUGGACCGUCUAUUGGUGUGAUAAUUAUCUACGCCGUGGAUGUGAAGCAGCUUUAUGAAGUUCAGCUUCUAACCGUCCAUUGACUUGGACAAUUUUGACA
rnacentral:misc_RNA from 1 species